AUACGUAGGGGGCGAGCGUUGUCCGGAAUGAUUGGGCGUAAAGGGCGCGUAGGCGGCCUGUUAAGUCUGGAGUGAAAGUCCUGUUUUCAAGAUGGGAAUUGCUUUGGAUACUGAUGGGCUUGAGUGCAGGAGAGGUUAUCGGAAUUCCCGGUGUAGCGGUGAAAUGCGUAGAGAUCGGGAGGAACACCAGUGGCGAAGGCGGGUAACUGGACUGCAACUGACGCUGAGGCGCGAAAGUGUGGGGAGCAAACAGGAUUAGAUACCUUGGUAGUCCACACUGUAAACGAUGAAUGCUAGGUGUAAGAGGUAUCGACCCCUUUUGUGCCGGAGUUAACACAAUAAGCAUUCCGCCUGGGGAGUACGGCCGCAAGGUUGAAACUCAAAGGAAUUGACGGGG
rnacentral:rRNA from 1 species